rnacentral:rRNA from 1 species
UACGUAGGGUGCGAGCGUUGUCCGGAAUUCUUGGGCGUAAAGGGCUCGUAGGCGGUUUGUCGCGUCGGGAGUGAAAACCCAGGGCUUAACUCUGGGCUUGCUUUCGAUACGGGCAGACUAGAGGCAUGCAGGGGAGAACGGAAUUCCUGGUGUAGCGGUGAAAUGCGCAGAUAUCAGGAGGAACACCGGUGGCGAAGGCGGUUCUCUGGGCAUGUCCUGACGCUGAGGAGCGAAAGUGUGGGGAGCGAACAGG